rnacentral:rRNA from 1 species
CAGUUAAAAAGCUCGUAGUCGGAUUUCAGUAUUAGGCCCUUCUUCCAAUACGGUUGCUAGUGGUCUUUACUUCCUUAACAGAAUCUUUCAUCUCAUUAAUUUGGGGUGUUUGGGGCCUGUUUCUUUUACUUUGAGAAAAUUAGAGUGUUCAAAGCGGGUUUUCGCCUGGAUAUUACUCUUGGAAUAAUAAUAUAGGGCUUUGGUUCUUUUUGUUGGUGACUUAGAACCGAAGUAAUGAUUGAUAGGGACAGUUGGGGUCAUUCGUACUAUGAAGCGAGAGGUGAAAUUCAUGGACCUUUGUAUGACGAACUACUGCGAAAGCAUUUGACUAAGAUGUUCCCGUUGAUCAAGAACGAAAGUUGGGGGAUCGAAGACGAUCAGAUACCGUCGUAGUCUCAACCAUAAACUAUGCCAGCUAGGGAUUGGAGGAAGAUCAUUUUACGUCUCCUUCAGCACCUUAUGAGAAAUCAAAGCAUUUGGGUUCCGGGGGGAGUAUGGUCGCAAGGCUGAAACUUAAAGGAAUUGACGGGAGGGCACCACCAGGAGUGGAGCCUGCGGCUUAAUUUGAUUCAACACGGGAAAACUUACCA